UCUCUCUCUCUCCACUCCUCAACUGCCACCACCCCACACCUCUCUCCUAUACCCACACUCUCACCCCUCUCACUCACUCACUCUCUCAUGGGCUAUGAAUACCCCUCUUCACUCCUCCCAUAAUCUUUCACCGAAUUCCUUCGCCGCCAACCACCUCCCCAUCCCCGCUCUCUCCAUCUGAAGCGAUGUUCAGAGGCGAGGGGCGUCUUCCAGAGGCGAGGUUCUGAGACGACGGGUCAAUUGUUAGAUCACAGGCCUUCAGAGGUUUCUUCAAUUCAACCAAGUUUAAGGUUUUGACAAUUCAAAGCAAUUCGAAUCUCGCACCGCUCAGUUCUGCUAACCACUAGUUGGCUACUGGAUACAUAGUAGAAGAAUCUUUUCCAGUCGACGAGGUUUACAGAAGAAGAUUGAGACUUCUGUUCAAUGAUAUUGUCUCAUUUCUGCAAUAUUCAACCUGAGGUUGGCCGUAGAAGAUUGGGAAUAUUGUUCUAUGAUAUUGACUCCUCUCUGCAUUAUUCAAGCCAUGAAGACUGAACUAUUGGUUUCAGAUUGAGAAGGAUCAACUGUUGGAAAUUUACGGAAUUUUGGAUGAAUGAAAUCAGGGCUACCGGAGGGUCUCACGAGGCAACCGUGCAUGUCUCGGGUUCAUUGUAUUUGGACGCACCACAAUCAAUAGACGUAUUGAUGUGUGGAUUUCGUAACUCCCGUAACCCCUCACCAUGAUUGUCAUUCACUAUUGUAACCUCCUUCAUUCAAAUGGCUGAAUUCAUUUCAACAUUUGAUGGCAGCAUUCACCUCUCAUACCUCCUUCACUCUAUAUAAAGAAGGCUCACGUUUUGGAGAAUGCAUUAGAAAAUCAAGUGUGCUACUAUACCUUCGAGCAAAUUGUUCUUAGAGAGAGAGAGACAGGUGGUAGUCAAUUCGCCAAGGCGGUCGAUGGUGGUGUUCCGACGGCUUGCGGUUUAGUUGAGCCAACCAUGUGAGGAAGACGCCAAACAAGAUCCUACAACACCCACGGUAGGCGGCGAAUCUUUCUUAAGGAGACUGUGGUAUCACACAGGACCCCGUUCUUGAUCUGGAAAUUCUGUUUAUAUCUCGUACUUACGAUUUGUCUACUGUUAUGUAUUUUGUAACUUGAUUCGUUCAUGUAAUCAUGUUGUUAUCAAUGAGAUUGUUCUCUAGAAUUUCGUUAUUGCCGAAUUUUUCCCAACAUCAACUUCAACCUUGCUGUCAUGAUAUCUUUUUUUUUUGAUAAGUCAAUCAAUUCAUUGCACGAUACCCAAAGAUAAAAGCCUGAAGGUUACAACGAUUUCAUCAAAGAAUACAGGAAUGAACCAAAACUACUAAAACCUAGACACGAAGCACAUCUACUAGAAGUCUUCUAAGCACAUACUGCCGAAGGCAGACCAAACAUAAAUGCAGGGCAAUGAACCCGUCUCCGAUUUUUGUAGUAGAGCUCAAAGGGACACCCAGUUCAAACCAUAGCCAAAAGCACGGAUGAAAUCAACACCAAACCAGAACAAAAAAACUAAACAGACUGAAAAACUUAUUCGCCUACCUACCACGCCCACCGGAUCUGGAAAACCAGACCGGUACAGUCACCGAAUUGGGGAGACUGGCCCGGAGAAACCAAGCCAAAGACAGCUGGUACUGAAACCUCCGGCCAUGGAGCUAUCGCCAGCAAAACGCCACCCCGUAAGCUGGAAACUUAUUGCCGGAGGGAGCCGAGCCACCCUACUUCAUCUCUCCGUCAGAGCUAUCCCAAAAACACCAAAGCAGAGGGAGGCGGUAGAGACGGUGGAGGCGGAGAGGUGAUGGUGAG